rnacentral:rRNA from 1 species
AGUGAACGCUGGUGGUAGGCCUAACACAUGCAAGUCGAACGGCAGCACAGUAAGAGCUUGCUCUUACGGGUGGCGAGUGGCGGACGGGUGAGGAAUACAUCGGAAUCUACUUUUUCGUGGGGGAUAACGUAGGGAAACUUACGCUAAUACCGCAUACGACCUACGGGUGAAAGCAGGGGAUCUUCGGACCUUGCGCGAUUGAAUGAGCCGAUGUCGGAUUAGCUAGUUGGCGGGGUAAAGGCCCACCAAGGCGACGAUCCGUAGCUGGUCUGAGAGGAUGAUCAGCCACACUGGAACUGAGACACGGUCCAGACUCCUACGGGAGGCAGCAGUGGGGAAUAUUGGACAAAGGGCGCAAGCCUGAUCCAGCCAUACCGCGUGGGUGAAGAAGGCCUUCGGGUUGUAAAGCCCUUUUGUUGGGAAAGAAAAGCAGCAGGUUAAUACCCCGCUGUUCUGACGGUGCCCAAAGAAUAAGCACCGGCUAACUUCGUG